UACGUAGGUGGCAAGCGUUGUUCGGAAUUACUGGGCGUAAAGGGCUCGUAGGCGGCCAACUAAGUCAGACGUGAAAUCCCCAGGCUUAACCUGGGAACUGCGUCUGAUACUGGAUGGCUUGAAUUCGGGAGAGGGAUGCAGAAUUCCAGGUGUAGCGGUGAAAUGCGUAGAUAUCUGGAGGAAUACCGGUGGCGAAGGCGGCAUCCUGGACCGACAUUGACGCUGAGGAGCGAAAGCUAGGGGAGCAAACGGG
rnacentral:rRNA from 1 species